AACGAACGCUGGCGGCAUGCCUAACACAUGCAAGUCGAACGAAGUCUUCGGACUUAGUGGCGCACGGGUGCGUAACGCGUGGGAAUCUGCCCUUGGGUGCGGAAUAACUUCUCGAAAGGGAUGCUAAUACCGCAUAAUGUCGUAAGACCAAAGAUUUAUCGCCCAAGGAUGAGCCCGCGUAAGAUUAGCUAGUUGGUGGGGUAAAAGCCUACCAAGGCGACGAUCUUUAGCUGGUCUGAGAGGAUGAUCAGCCACACUGGGACUGAGACACGGCCCAGACUCCUACGGGAGGCAGCAGUGGGGAAUAUUGGACAAUGGGCGAAAGCCUGAUCCAGCAAUGCCGCGUGAGUGAUGAAGGCCCUAGGGUUGUAAAGCUCUUUUACCAGGGAUGAUAAUGACAGUACCUGGAGAAUAAGCCCCGGCUAACUCCGUGCCAGCAGCCGCGGUAAU
rnacentral:rRNA from 1 species